GGGGGUGGAUGGUGCCUGGUGGUGCCCCUGGUCUUCAAAACCAGUCCGUGGGGCGGCGAUCCCGUCCCUGGUGAGUUCGAUUCUCACACACUCCC
rfam:Desulfotomaculum gibsoniae DSM 7213, complete genome.